rnacentral:lncRNA from 1 species
GUGCCCUCUUGGACUUUUGGGCCGAGGUACCUGAUUAUCAGCCACCUUAUCUCUGCUUUAUGGUGGCUCUAGAAUUAGCCAGAUGUUGAUCUAGCUCUUUGUUCUGUGUUGCCUUCUAGUUCCACGGUUAAAGCUCUUAUCUUUGUUUUUGUUUCCUCCUGUGAAGUCCUGGAUUUGAUUAACGAAAGAAUUUGAGUAAAAGUGAGAACUGGAAUUAGGGUGCUAUAAGCAUUAUAAUAAUUUGGCCUUCUCACUGUUGGUUAACUCUUUAAUUUUUUUUCGGGACGGGGCAAAUAUUGGAAAUAAGAGGAUGGAGUUAUGUGGCUUAUGUCUGUAAGAGUCAGAAAAUCCUUCCUGGAGAGUCCUUAGGCUGUGGCUGCCAGUUAUCUCUCAGGUUUGCUGGUUGGCUCCCGAGCAGACAGCAGGAAAGAAGAAGCCCUUCGUGUACACCCAGGGCCAGGCUGUCCUAAACCGGGCCUUCUUCCCUUGCUUCGACACGCCUGCUGUUAAAUACAAGUAUUCAGCUCUUAUUGAGGUCCCAGAUGGCUUCACAGCUGUGAUGAGUGCUAGCACCUGGGAGAAGAGAGGUCCAAAUAAGUUCUUCUUCCAGAUGUGUCAGCCCAUCCCCUCCUAUCUGAUAGCUUUGGCCAUCGGAGAUCUGGUUUCGGCUGAAGUUGGACCCA